AUUGAACGCUGGCGGCAUGCCUUACACAUGCAAGUCGAACGGUAACGCGGGGCAACCUGGCGACGAGUGGCGAACGGGUGAGUAAUGCAUCGGAACGUGCCCAGAAGUGGGGGAUAGCCCGGCGAAAGCCGGAUUAAUACCGCAUGAGACCUGAGGGUGAAAGCGGGGGAUCGCAAGACCUCGCGCUUUUGGAGCGGCCGAUGUCAGAUUAGCUAGUUGGUGGGGUAAAGGCCUACCAAGGCGACGAUCUGUAGCUGGUCUGAGAGGACGACCAGCCACACGGGGACGGAGACAGGGCCCGGACCCCGAGGGGGGGCGCCAGGGGGAAUUUUGGAAAAAGGGGCGAAGGCCGGACCAAGCCAGGCGGGGGGGGGAAAAAGGGCGUCGGGUUGGAAACGCGUUUUUGCAGGGAAAGAACCGCUGGGGGCUAACACCGGGGGGAAAGGACGGUACCGAAAAAAAAAGAACGGGCAACCUACGUG
rnacentral:rRNA from 1 species